GCUGUAUUUAUGAUAGUAGCUUGCAUCGUCAUGUAUGAUUUCCAUACAACAUUUGGUGGCAAUUUCAGAAAGGAGGAGCUUUCUUGUGUUACUCUGUAUCAGUGGUGCUGCACUUCUUAUGAUUAUAUAUUUUGCAUAUCAUCAUGUACAGUUGGCAUGCCAUGUUCCUGUAGCUUUCAGUGGCAAUUUCAGUUGUAUCAUCAUUCUUUAUCUUUUACAUUCCUUUGUAUUUUCUCAGCAAUGAAGGGGGAAUGCUGAAAGCGUUGUGCACUUGGACACUCUUUUUUGCAGAAAAAGCAUGAAAAUGUCUAAUACACACUGAUUGAUUUUUUGAGAAGUUGUCUCUAAAAAUUUUGUGUGCUUCCUUUUUUCCACAGUUAAUUUUAUAUAAGAUAGAAAAAGAUCAUAAAGAAUGUCCUGUUUGAAAUCAUGCUGCAUUGUGGUCAUAAUUUUAUUUUAUAGUCGUUCGCUUUUCUGGUGGUUAACUCAUGUACAUUCUGUUCCAUUCCCAUCCUUUUGGCACUCCUGAUACAGCUGAACAGUUUUUCAAACUACUUUUUCCAACGGCAUCUAAAGUGGUGCCUUUAGGAAAUCAGGUUUGAACCACAAUUCCAAAUAGGCCCUAAUCAAAAGAUGCAGCAGUU
rnacentral:misc_RNA from 1 species